rnacentral:lncRNA from 1 species
CCUUUCUUAGGUGGAAUUAGCGCAUGGUGGGAGGCGUUCAUCAGAUGAUUCCCGGGGUGGUUUCAAUGGUGGUGGCCGUGGUGGUGGUCGUGGCCGCGGUGAUGGCCGUGGCGAUGGUGGUAGUCGUGGGCCAUCUAGGAGAUCAGAGUUUCGUGGUAAGCAAUCUUGGAAUUAGCAUUAUUUGGUCCAAAGUUGUAGGAAUAGUCUCUAAUUUUUUUUUUUCCCACCAUAGUUCUGGUGACAGGCUUGCCUUCAUCUGCUUCUUGGCAAGAUCUUAAGGUGAGUACACACUGGUGGAUAAUGAACUUCUCAUUUUCCCUUAUAUCUUCAAAGGUUUCUGAAUUACAACACGAAUCACUUUCCUGUAGGAUCACAUGCGCAAAGGAGGGGAUGUCUGUUUCUCACAAGUGUACCGUGAUGGUAGAGGUAAGUGUCCGCAUAUAAUCUUGUGCCUCUAAAUCUAGUUGAAAGAAUUAAGUCUUGGACAAUCAUAUUUGUAGGUACAACUGGAGUUGUGGAUUACACCUGCUAUGAGGACAUGAAGUAUGCGGUGAGAUAUAUUCCCUGUUGCUGUUCUGUGGUUUAGACUUUGUUGUAGUACUCCUUAAUUACUAAUUUUUUCUUAUUCUUCAAUUUCCCCAGGUGAAAAAGCUCGAUGACACAGAGUUUCGAAACGCGUUUUCGCAUGGAUAUGUUCGGGUUCGUUGAAAGCUGAGUUUCCUGUGAAUUGUGAUCUUUUCAUUUUUGCGUUUUAAAUUCAGUUUUCUGUAUCUAUUUAGGUUAGAGAAUAUGAUUCGAGGAAGGAUUCUAGGAGCCCUAGCCGGGGAAGAUCCUAUUCUAGGAGUCGCAGCCGCAGCCGUGGGCGGAGCUUGAGCCGAAGCAGGAGUAGGAGCAGGAGUCCAAAGGCAAAGUCUUCACGUAGGUCGCCUGCAAAAUCUACCUCGAGAUCUCCUGGUCCCCGCUCGAAGUCAAGGUCACUGUCUCCAAGAAGGUAAUGUUUGUUAUCCCUUUUUCAAAUUGCAUCAGGUUACAUUUCUUAUUCAGUAGAUUUUUCCUGUGAAGUUAAUAAAAAAUCUGAUUUGAAAAGUCAUUGUUGAUGACUCCAAAGUUCCUUGUUGAUUGAGCAUGUAAUGUUUUGAGACGGUAGCCAUUAUUGUCCUUCCUACUCCAUCCCUAUAUAUAAAUGUUUAUACCCCAUUUCUGGUUGAGAUUUCGAGAUUAACCUUGCAGUUUUAGUCUGAUGUUUGCUUUCCUGAGUAGAAUAUGGUUUUGUUUCAUAGAUAUGGAUUUACAUACAAUCGACUAGAAAAUGGAAAUUAAUAUCUGGAUGGAAAUUCUUGGUUGUUCACAAGUGUUUCGACUCAGAGGUAUGGGAAAAUUUGGAUUAGAGACUUUGUUUUAUCUGGCUUUCUUAUCUAGUAUAGUAGUAUUCACUAAUUUCCGUUGCUGCUAGAUGAAUAACAAUGGAGACAUUGGAUCACAAUAUUAUAUCGGGAUUUCAGUAAAACUAAAUUGGCACGAUGGAUGAUGACAAUAUGGAAUCUCGGUUCUCUUGGGACGUCCAUGGCACAUUUUGCUACAAAAAAUUGUUAUGCCACAUGGUUUUGAAUAAUCUUCUUUGUUUUACCCUAAGUAGGGGUGUUGAUUGGUUUAAGUUACUUUUUUGUUUGGGUUCAAUUUCUUGAUCUCUAUAAGAUAGAAGAGGCAUCAAGGACCAUAGUGAACGUUACCUAACAGAAUAAAGUGUUUGGAUUUUUGAAUCUGGGUAUAUUAUUUUGGACUUUUGCAGAUCUCGUUCAAGAUCAAGAUCAAGAUCAAAAUCUCCUCUACCUCCUGUGAGUAACAAGAUCCAAAUUUUAACCCCUCGUUUAAUAUGACAUUAGUUCUGUUUUACAUUGUUUGUUAUCUUAAUAACUUUCUGUAUCGCAGGUUCAGAAGGAAGCAAGCAAGAGCCCGAGCAAGCCAAGCCCAGCCAAGAGCCCUAUGAACACAAGGAGUCCAUCGAGGUGCAUAUUCUAUCUUAGAAAUGAAUAUAGCUAAUCUAAUUUUGAUGCCUAGUGUGUAAAUCUAAACCUGAGCUCUUGUUGGCAGGUAAAAUGUGAGAUAUCCAGGUAAAGAAACAGAGAAGAGAAGCAUCUUUCUUGCUUGGGGCAAAAAAUCUGCUUAUUUUUGAAGUGGAUCAUAUCUUAACGCUUAUUAGUUACUGAAGCAGAGUGAGACAAGUUUUGGGAGUGAUGUUUUGUAAUAUUCUUCUUGCCUUAAAACAUGUUCAGGAUCCAUUACUUUGUUGAAUGAUGUUUUUAUCGAAGAUAUCCUCUAAUAUUCUUCUUCCGAUUUAUCCUUUUAAUAAAUUAACGACGUCUGUGUAGCUGGACCUUUAGGGACCAGUGAAUUCUGGAGACGGCUCCUUGCAGAGGAAUUAACGCCCCCUGGAUUUAAGUGUUUGCUGUGAUUGUGUGGCUCCGAACAAAGAGACUAACGCGAAGGAAUCAAACAGUGGCAUUUUGAAAGCUAAUGUUGCUUCGUAUCUUCCUUUUAUUGGUCGACGUUUUGAACUUGAACACUUCUUCAUCAAACUUGUCAAAAAGACUGGUCCCAACGUAGAGACAGACAAUGGAACUUUCGUGUUUCAAUUAAAUUUCUCCACCUUAAAUAGAUAUAUAAUACCACAUGGGUUGAUCACCGUUCAUAAUUGUAUUUGCUUGCUUAAUUAUUGACAAAACCAGAGAGAAAGAUGAAAAUGUUGAACAACAGUCUCAUGCUCCUUCCUCUCCUGGCGUUGGCUUUUGCAGCAGUCUCGUCCCUCCAAUACAGUAGACAUGACUUCCCUCCAGACUUUGUCUUUGGCUCUGGCACAUCAGCUUUUCAGGUUCUUUAAAACCUUUUCCUGAAUCAUUGCUGCGACAUGUUAUAAAAGAGUGUUUAGUUCACAUGAUUUACAACAGGUGGAAGGAGCUGCCAACGAAGACGGGCGAACUCCUAGCAUUUGGGAUGUUUUAGCUCAUGCCGGUUUGAUUUCUUUGCUUGCUCAUAGACUCAUAAUUUAACCAAGAAUGGUAUUCAUAAGCUCAACUGUCAUUGUAGGACACUCCGGAGUAGUAGCUGGAGAUGUUGCAUGUGACCAGUAUCACAAAUACAAGGUCCCGAAACUUUCUCAUCUAGAGUAUUUACUAUAACAUAUCUCUCUGUCUCCGUCUCUGUUCGUCCAGUGUGACAGAUGGAAAUUUGAUAUAGUAACAAAUUCAGACAGUAACAUUGCUUGGAUGUUGCAGGAAGAUGUGAAGCUCAUGGCAGACAUAGGAUUGGAGGCUUACAGAUUUUCCAUAUCAUGGUCAAGGCUUUUACCAAGUAUGGUUGUCCACAUAUUGAUUGAGAAUUUAAUCGAAGCAUUUUCAAUAUGAAAGCUUUACAGUUUAGAUAUUUGGAGUUUAUUUCAGGUGGAAGAGAACCAGUUAAUCCCAAGGGUCUACAAUACUACAACAAUCUUAUAGAUGAAUUGAUCUCUCAUGGUUAGAUUUGUAGCCUGAGCCUUUUUAGUUAGCUAUAUAUAUAAUACCUACGAAGCUAAGUCUUCUUGGAUCAGCUUUUCAUAUUUUUUAAUGAUUGCUUUUGACUAAGCAGGAAUCCAGCCACACGUUACAUUGCACCACUUUGAUCUUCCACAGACCCUAGAAGAUGAAUAUGGAGGUUGGCUCAGCCAAGAAAGCGUGUAUGACUCUUCUCCUUUCAUCUAAUUGAAUAUUCUGACUGGUGAUAUCAAACUGAGUUAUCAAUCUUCUUGUAAUGGUUGUAGGAGAGACUUCACAGCUUAUGCAGAUACUUGCUUUAAGGAGUUUGGAGAUAGAGUGUUACACUGGACUACUAUAAAUGAGGCCAAUGUGUUUGCCCUUGGAGGGUAUGACCAGGGUGUAUCACCGCCUGCUCGAUGCUCUCCUCCAUUUGGAUCCAAUUGUUCCCAUGGAAACUCUUCAAUUGAACCUUACAUUGUCGUACACAAUCUGUUGCUUGCACACGCUUCUGCAACAAACUUAUACAAGAAACAGUACAAGGUUCUUCUCUCUGCUUUUAAAUUUUCUGUCUUUCGUAUGCAUUGCAUUGUCUUUAGCUCAGCCAGUAUCUCCUCUUCAUUCAUUACACAGUACAAGCAACAUGGAUCAGUAGGCAUUAGCGUAUACGCGUACGGUACUGUCCCUUUAACUGACUCUGUGGAGGAUAAGCAGGCAACAGCUAGAGUGAAUGACUUCUACAUUGGUUGGUAUGUCUAAAAGUUAAGAUUCCAAUUUAUGGAUGUUAACAUAUAUUUUGAUUGUUGAGUUUCUUAAUUGAUUCGGUUUUCGAAAGGAUAUUACAUCCGCUGGUGUUUGGGGAUUAUCCUGAGACGAUGAGGACCAACGUUGGGUCAAGAUUGCCAGUUUUUACAAAGGAGGAGUCAGAACAAGUUAAGGGCGCGUUUGAUUUCGUAGGAGUGAUAAAUUACUUGGCAGUUUACGUCAAGGACAACUCUUCCUCUCUGAAACCAAAUCCUCAGGAUUUGAUCACAGACACGGCCGCGGAACUGACCGGUAAGUUACAUAGAUUAUAUGAAUCAUACAGUCUGAAAAAAUUAAAGCUAAAAUCCUGAAAAAAGUAUAAAUAUCUAGUUAUAUAUGGCUCACUCUGGUUUCUCCAAUUUGCGGUUGCAGUGUUUGGAAACACAUCGCUCGAGAAUGAGGUUUUGUAUGUAGAUAUCAAUUUCAUAUGUGAUCACUUAAAAGAGACUACAAGAUUAAUGUUUGAUGAUUUACUUCCUCCAGCAUGCAAACGCACCAUGGAGUCUGCAACAAAUACUUUUGCAUAUCAAAGAAUCUUAUGAAAACCCUCCGGUCUACAUCUUAGAGAAUGGUCUUUCUCUCUCUCUCUCUGUCUCUCAGAUUUUUGCUAGUUUGCUACUUCAUGUGGCUUAAACCUCUCUCCCUCUCUGGUGAUUGAUUUUUCAUUUACAGGUCAGGUGACUUCUCACAACUCAUCACUUGAGGACACAACGAGGAUUGAGUAUCUGAGCUCAUACAUUGAAGCAGUGCUUCAUUCACUCAGGUAACAGUAAAAGGGUAGAACAGUUUCACUCAAUGAUUUGUGCCAGACAUAUUCUAAGUAUAAAAGAUCACAUAGCAGGAAAGGAUCGAACGUAAAAGGCUACUUUCAGUGGUCGUUGAUGGAUGUGUUUGAGAUAUUUGGUGGGUUCGAGAAGAGCUAUGGAUUAUAUUACGUGGACUUCAAGGAUCCUUAUCUCAAGAGGAUCCCUAAACUCUCUGCUCACUGGUACUCUUCCUUGCUCAUGGGAACACUGCACCAGCCAUCGCAUGCUUCAUCUUGAUCAUUCGAUUUCAUAUAGCCUAAUCAAUCAAUCAAUAUACAUAUAUAACCAAUAUAUGUUAAAAAUAGGUGUUGUUAUAUAGUUACUUUGAUCGAAGAGGAUGGAUUAGUUCAAUACAAUUCCAAGUUCAUUGGUCAUGACAAUUCUUUAUUAUUUCUAUACUAAAAAUCGAUCUAUGGGAUUAACAUAAGAGCUGGAAUUGGCGUGUUUGACCUAGAUAUCGCGUACGAAGCAAAGACAUGACACAUUCGUAUAAAAGCCAUACUAAUAACUUUUUAUUCUUUAAGUGUCUUUUGCAUUUCAAUUACGCAAGAGACGAUUGCUUUCUUGUCAAACAGUAAAGCUUAGGCAUUCAAAUGUAUUUAACUUGUUUAUUACACAUUGUAGGAAUAUUUUUAAUUGGAAUUUACGAUAUGAUUGUAUGCAUAUGUUGCUAACCGUGUAAUACCAAAAUCCUUGACUAACUUGUAUUUUUUGUUUUAACUUUUGAAAACUUCAAUUCUCCCACUGGCCACUGGGGCUAGAAAUGAUUACAGCCAGUGGAAUUGAAUAAAACAAAUGACCACUUGAGCAGACAAAUGAAUGGGUGUGCCACUUUAUCUUGGAGAUUUUUUUUGUUUGUCAAUUGAUAUUUUGUAACUUUAAUUUUUUUAAAAGAGAGUAAAUAGUGUAAUGAAUAGAAACGUUCAAACCAGAGCCAGAUGAAAAAUCAUGACAUUAUAUGUCAAUCACAUUACCUCAUUAUCAAGUAACAAUACAAUUUGUAUAGCUUAGGCUUUUGAAAAACAAAAUAAAAGCUAAAGCAAGGGUUUAAGUAGAUGCAUGCAUCACACUAUUACAGCAUUGAAAUAAAGAUAAAGUAAAUUAAAGUUUGAAGUUAAAUUUUCUUUGCAACUUGAUUGAUGAGCAUCUUCGUCGACACAUUUUUUUUUUUGAAAAGCAAAAGAGCAUAUCCCUAGGCCCUAGCUCUAAUUAUGUUUUGUGUAAGAUAUAAAAGAAUCACAUUCUUUUAGGGAAUAAAACUACGUAGAGUGUUAGUUAAAUUAAACUUGAAAAUAAAAAUCCGAAGCAAAACAAAGUUGUAUAUAAUUAAUUAAUCAAGUAGUGACAAAAGAAGACAGUGGGGGUGAUUGGUGAAGAAAUAUGUUUUAGUGCCAAAAUCAUAUUGUCAGUAACAAAGGGUCGUAAAGCUAAAAAUAAACAAAAGUGGCGGCGUGAAAUUGAUAAAAGCUAGGUUUUGGUGGCGAAAUCCAAAUACAUAUAAACUUAUAAGAAGAAAAGAAACUGUAUUGUAUUCUUGCUUACUAUUUCUAAAAGUUUAUAAUUUUGACCCCACAAAGAAAAAAAAUCCCAAAAAGGGUCCAUUUGUGGUGGCAUCUUUAUCUUUUUGUUUUGUUGAAAAAAUCAUUAUAAUUAUAUAUAUUAUCUUAAACUACAUAUCAUGGAUUAUAUUUUUUUCCAUCAACUUCUUCCACCAUGCAUGGAAGUAAAAUUUUCACUGUUUUUUUUUACUAAUUAACAACAAGAAUCCCCAUAAGGUAAAUUUUCUUUGUGCUUUUAAUAAUAUAUGACACUAAUCUAAGAUAUUUCCAGCAAAUGAUCUUUCCUAAAUGAUAAAAUAUAUUUCAGUUCUACUAAUCUAAAAUAUAUUCAUUCAACCAAUGGGAUAAAGAUAAAAACUCAGACAUAAGCAUCCACGCGGCAUUAAGUGGGGUGAUGUACAACAAAUAUGCUCAUUAAAAUUUUUAUAAACAAAUCUUUUUACUAACGAGUCUGCCUUAAAUGUCAAAUAAAAAUAAACAAGUCACUGAAAUAAAUGAAUCUAUCAAUUGGUCAAAUCUUUUUUUGUUUUGCACUUAAUUAUAGUAAAUAUAUUUCCAUAACACAAAAGACUUCGCCUUUUAUGUAAAACCAACUUAGAUUUGUUCCCCAUAAAAAUAAAUAACGUUUUGACUUUUUUUCUUUUGGUUGCUUUCUCUUAUUUUUGUUUUCACAAGUUGUUUAUUUCCGCCGACCUCACCAGUCACAUCCUUCUUCGUUUAUUCAUAAAUACGUCUCUGUUCUGUUUUUUUUCUUGGGUGUUCCAUAUACAUACAUACAUAUGAUAAAGCCAACACGAGACGCAAUAUAUAGAGAGAGAAGAGAUAAGAGCGACGAGACAACAAAAUUUGUAACCCUUUUGAUUUGUUAUCUUGAUCAAUUGAGUGCUCAAUUUUGUUGAUGGUCAUCUAAGAAGAAUCGUAUCCUUUCUCUGUUGUUGAUGGUCAUCUAAAAUUUAUAUCCUUUAAAAAGUGAUUCUGCGUUGUGAGAAAAGAUGAAGUUUUGUAAGAAGUAUGAAGAGUACAUGCAAGGGCAGAAGGAGAAGAAGAAUCUUCCUGGCGUUGGCUUUAAGAAGCUCAAGAAGAUUCUCAAGAGAUGCAGAAGAAACCAUGUCGUCCCUUCUUCUUCUUCCUCGAGGAUGGCUUUUACUCAAGUAAUUGAUCAGCACAAUUGUCCUCGUGGAUGCCCAGGUACUGUUCGACAUAAUUCCCCUGUGCACUUCUUGAGAUUUUGAAUUACCAGAUAUAUAUAUAUAUACAUAUAGAGAGAGAGUGUGUUUUUGAUUUUGGUGGAUUUGUGUUUCCUAGUUUGUGAUGGAACUUUUUUCCCGGAGCUUCUCAAGGAGAUGGAAGACGUCGUUGGAUGGUUUAACGAGAAUGCUCAGAAGCUUCUUGAGCUACAUUUAGCUUCUGGUUUCUCAAAGUGUCUCACUUGGUUCAAAGGCAAUACUCGAAAAAAGGAUCAUCUUGGUUUGAUCCAAGAAGGCAAAGACUUGGUUAAUUACGCUCUCAUCAAUGCCGUCGCCAUUAGAAAAAUCCUCAAGAAAUAUGAUAAGGUAUAUUCUACUCUUAACACCCGCUUGUAUCCAUUAAAGAUCCCAAAUUUGAACUCUUGUUAUUCAAUAUAUGUUCUGCAUCUUUGUCCUGCAGAUUCAUGAGUCUAGGCAAGGACAAUUGUUUAAGACACAAGUCCAGAAGAUGCGAAUCGAAAUCCUGCAAUCACCAUGGCUCUGUGAGCUUAUGGCGUUUCACAUCAAUCUGAAAGAAUCUCAGAAGGGAUCUAAAACUGCUGUGGCUUCUCCUACUCCUGUUCAUGCAUUGUUUGAUGGCUGCUCUUUGACGUUCAAUGAUGGGAAGCCUUUACUCUCCUGCGAGCUCUCUGAUUCCGUAAAAGUUGACAUUGACUUGACUUGUUCAAUAUGCCUGGUAAGCAACUUAACAUGACUCCAAAGAAUCUCAAUGUCAAAUAACUGUUAGUUGACUUAUUAGUAAUCUGGAAUUUACAAGAUAUAUUAUCAGCCUAUAGGGAUAAAGUCUUAGUUUUGUCGUGUCAAGGUGCUAUUCCACUCUCCUCUUGUAGAAUUCCGUUUCAAAGACUAAGUCUUUUUUCUAGCAUGUGUGAUCUUCUUUCUUAAUGUAAUACUUUGAAUAAAUCUUCGACUUACUGAAUUACACUUGAUGGCGAAAAACAGGACACGGUGUUUGAUCCGAUAUCUCUAACAUGCGGUCACAUAUAUUGCUACAUGUGUGCUUGCUCUGCUGCAUCAGUAAACGUAAUUGAUGGCUUGAAAACCGCAGAGCUAACUGAAAAAUGUCCGCUUUGCCGUGAGGUUAGACACAUUCUCCAGAGCUAAUCUACUAAACUUCAUGCUCUUUGUUUCAUGCUCUUUAAGUCUUAAUCCUUGUUUUUCGUCCAUUUGAUAUCAGGAUGGGGUUUAUAAAGGUGCUGUGCAUCUGGAUGAGCUCAAUAUCUUACUUAAGCGAAGGUAAAUAUAUGCAUAUACAACCAAUCUUAUUAUAGUCUUUGAAACCUGCCUCUUUAAGUUUUGAAAGUAUCUGUGGAGAAAACUAAAUUUCUAAACCAUCAUAAUUGCAGCUGCAGAGAGAAUUGGGAAGAACGGCGUAAAACAGAGAGAGCAGAAAGGUUACAGCAGGCAAAGGAGUACUGGGAUUACCAAUGCCGAAGCUUCACUGGAAUAUAAUAUGACUUGCUAUAUAUGUGAUUUCUCAAGUGAGAAAUACUUUGGAGAUUCUUCGUUUUGAUAAAGCUCUUCUAAGACUAGAUGUUAAUCGUGAUUUGUUUUCCUCUGUGAGUAUGUGUUUAUUUGCACAGUGGAGGUUGACGGUUAGUGAAAAUUUGAAAACUCUUUGCAGCGUUUCUCUAUAUUAUUAGUUUGCAUAUGAUUUUGAUAGAAUAAAAGGAACUUCCCAACUGAAUCAAAUUCUUGAAAAACGAGAUUUUAGAUUAAAAGGAACUUGAUAACAGUUGUAGUGUUGUUGCAAAUUAUAACAAAAAUGACAGAUAAUACAAAGAUUUUAUAUCACGAUGAUCAUAUCAUCAUGGAACUAAAAUCGGGUUCUUAUCUUUGUAAAUCUGAUAUCUUGUGCAUAGCUUUCGUAGUGUCCCAAUAGAAUGCUGCAUAGAGUUUAGCUUUCUGUCUCGGUACAUGCCCUGUUCAAACAAAAAAGAAGUUAGAAUAAGAAUCACACAGAGGAAAACCAAAUAAAAUGGUAAAAUCAGUUAUAGCUAAUAGAUCCAAACCUCAAAGUCAUCUCCAUGUUUCUCCACCAAACGUCUUAUAUGUGUGCGUUGCAUAGUCGUGAGCGGCUGUAAAGGAGCACUCUUUCCAUCUUUUCUUUGCUUCCCCAAAGCUGUCUUAAGGUCUACACAUCUCAGAACAAAGCAAUUUGGACAAUUAAUUACCAAAACAAUCUGCUUUUAACAACCAGGUAGAUAUAUCUAUCAAGGUGAAAAAUAUCCAAAAGCUAGUGAAGCAGAUUCUUGCUUACUACCAGUUGCAUAUAAGCUUGUGCAAGUCUUCCAACAAUGGCAUAACUAUAUGUUGAUGAUUAGCUGAAUGUUUUGUAAACUAAUGUUGUAAACUUUACACAAGCACGUAGAGAGAAUGAUGUUCGUAGGCAUAGUAACUUUCCCCCAAAUUUGUCACUCUAAACCCUAAAUUUCAAAUUUUCUCAAUAGCGAUUUUCAACAAGAGACUAGUCUGCAGCUAGUCUAUUCUAAAAUCGAAUCGAAACGUACCGUCUUCCUCGAGUUCGCUUCCGGAAUCGAUGGGCUCGAACUCCUUAGCAGUAGGAUCAUCGGUGGAUGGUUCCGGAGGUGGAGGAACGUUGAGGGAAGCAUCCUGGAUCAUAUGGUCGGUGCGAGAUCGAAGCAAAUUAGGGUUAGAGAUGACGCCGAAGGAUCUGUAGUUCUGAAUAACGCUAGCUUGGUCGUCCCAUUCGGGGACAUCGUCCGCCAUGAGAGCGCGGAGCUUGGGAGGGAGAUUGAAAGCUGGCUUGAAGAUAUUAGGGUUUUUCUUGGGAAGAGCUACGCGAACUUUAGCCCUAGAGUUCCUAUACUUUCUUCUCGACCUCGCCAUCUCUCUCUCCCACCGAUUUUUUUUUUCACGAUGAAGAAAGAAGGAAGCGAAAGAGAGGGGUGAAGUUCGCGGCGGAAGGGUUUAACUAACAAGGGUUUUGUUAUACGACGUCGUUUUAUAAGUUAACCUUUUUUUUUUUUUAACAAAUAAUAUUUUAGUUCGUUACCAUUACAGUUUACAGUAAUACACUGUAACUACUUACAUUUCUAGUCUAAUAAUAAUAUAUCCGAUCAAAUUGUUCAAUUUUAAAUGAAACAAUGCUUGCGAUAUAGACUUUAUUGUGCUCUUCGAGUCCUCUUUUUUGCUUUUUUGAAUAUUCUGUGAACAAAGGCCAAUAAAUUAUUGCAUCUUUAGAAAAUCAAUCUUUUGAUUUUUUGUGUCGCUCUCGGGUCCUUCUUUCUCCUACUUUUAUUGUGAAAUGAAAAUGCAACUAAUAAUUUACUACUUCAGAGUGAAGCAAAACAUCUAAUAUAAAAGAGUAUGUAACACUAAAACCAACCACCAUUUUCUUUUUUUGGUCCAUAGGUUGAGUUGCUAUUCCCUUUUAGUUAAUUGAAAACAAAACAACAAAGGACUUGUAAAUAAACGCAAGUUUUCUUGGUUAAAAAACACCCACCAUGGGCCUUCUUCAGUUCUUUUUCUUCUAUCUUCUUCUUCUUCACGUCCACACUUCAUUCACUUUCGCUACAAUAUUUUUAAGUUUCAGUAAGAAAACCCCAGAAUCCUUUAUGAUUAGAGAAAUCUGAACGUUAUCAGAUACAAUAUAGCUUGCCUUGGAUACCAUGGUUUGGACCACACUCCCUUAGAAGAAACCGAGCAUUCGCAGGCAACCAGUCCAACAACUGCUUAAGAAAACAAAGGCAGAAAGGUCAAAAUUAGGCAAACAAAACAGACUGUGAGCAACCAGUCCAACAACUGCUUAAGAAAACAAAGGCAGAAAGGUCAAAAUUAGGCAAACAAAACAGACUGUGAGCAACCACAAAAUGUAUUAAUACAAGUCCAUCAGGUUUGGCUAGGAUGCUUGACUACCUUCCGCUUGUGUGGCCAACUAGUAACAUGAGUGGUAAAAUUUUCAAACCCUUGGCCAUGAUGAUUGUCGGAGCAUACCGAGCAAAUCCAGAAGGCAGAUUCACUCGUUUCACUGCACUUAUCCUCCUCAAGUGCUCCCGAAUCUGUGGAAAAAUAUAUAAAAAUUGCCAGUUAGUUGACCAAAAGAUUGUAGCCGGUAUUGCUGUUUCUUGCAACAACACCGUUAGAGAGGACAAACACACCUGCCCGGAAAAAGCCUUCAAAAGACCGAUGUUACAGCUCCGAAGUCUUUCUCAUGAGGCUCAGUUAGAGGUGAGCUUAAGCAUUGGAGUUGCUUACCUGCCAGGAAAUUAAAGACAACAUGGGGUACAAUUUUGGACAAACAAAACUAGAAGAAGACAGAAUGGUAAACUACUUGAGGUAAGAGGUUUCUCAAUUCGUUUGACUCAAAACAAAACAAUGAUUACCUUCUGUUGAUGGUAUGUACCAGAGAGAUGCUUGGUGAUACAAAGAAAGUCUGUAUUAGGAGCACUACGGUAAUUGCAUACUGAGCAGAAGAAACUGGCAAGUUCACCAGGUGGACUGCUCUGAGCCUCCUCAAGUGCCCCUGAGUCUAUGGAAAAAAAUAAAAGUAGUCAGGUGAACAGCAUGUUAUUUAGAAAACAAUGCAAGUGAGGACAAACACAUACCUGGCCGAAAAAACCAUUGAAGAGAAUCAUAGGGAAAAUGCUGCACAAGGUUGCAUCUCCCUGGUAGAUAGGUUGCAGGAUAAGCAAAGAUUUUGGCAUUGGAUAUGACCAUUACGUUAAGUAGAGGACCACUAUUAUUGAAAAGCUCAGAAACGAACUCCACAGUGUCUGAGGGACCUGUUUAAGAAACUAAAGAUUUGAGACUCUAUUCAAGGAAAACAUCCAUUAUUGUAGAAAGGACUAAGGAUGAGAAGAUAUUAACCGUAUGGGACAUUAUGAAGACCGAUUCCAGUGAUAUAGACUUUUCCCAGAAUGUCUUCAGGAACGUCUGUUAGAACGCCAAUGGCAAUGAUUUUGACAUGACCAAAGUAGCCUUUUUUAAACAAGAAAUGUCUGAUGUGCAGACUGACCAUCCUAGCAUCAAAACCAGGGGGAACUGGACACGUAUUGAUGUCCCAAACGACAAUUGUGUCAUGAGUCCUCUUUACAUCCUCCCAGCAUAAUCUAUUAUCAGGUGGUAGAACGUUUGUCAGCUUCAGACUUUUUUUGACCGGCGAAUUCACCUCCAGUGGAGAAAAAACAACAUGGGGUCAGAAUUAAGCAAACAAAGCUAAAAUUUUAGAAAUUAAAACAAGAAUUUGGUGGCAUCCUCACCUUGACAGUGUCAACUGGAAGAGGAGGCGCAGUAUUCCUAGCCUCCAUUUCCUUGAAGGACAAAUGACCAUGGAGUCAAAACAAGGAAGUGACUAGUAGUGGCAAUGAGAAAAUGUAUUGAUACAAUGCUAGGAUGAUUACCAUGGAGCGAUGAAAGUUUCGAAGAUGUUCUUCACAAGAUAGAUGAGCGAUGAGAUUAUCAAAGCUUUGUUGAGGAGGAUCACGGGCGCAUACAAAGCAAUCCCACAAGGCAGAUUCCCCUGUUUUCUCCUCAAGUGCGUUUAAAUCUGUGGGAAAAAUAUAUAGGCAGUUGAUACAGAUACAUUUGUGGGUUCUUUCAUCAAAGAAGACAGUGAGAGAGAACAAACACAUACCUAAGCUGUCAAAAGAAUAAAAUGGAAACGGCUCGAGAGGGUUAUAGCCAAACAUUUUUAGAACCCUAAAAAAACCAGGGUAGGCGUCUUUGGCAGAUAUGGCCAUAAAAUUAGCUGGAGUUGGAUUUGUAUCUACGAGGUCUGAAAUGUCUAAGUGACCUGUUUGAUAAAUCUAAAGGCAUGAGACAUAAGAUCAACUAUAUUAGAAGAAAGGAAUAAUUAAGGAUGAGAAAAGAUACUAACAGGGGGUGACGAUGGAAAGAGAGAUUCCACUGGAAUAGACUUGUCUCAGGAUCUCAGUAGGUACGUCGGAUAGUUUGCCAAAGGCAGUGACGGUGAGAGGACCACGGUAGCCAUUCCUAUCCAAAAACCGCCUAAUACACGGAAGGACCAGACCAGGAUUUAAGCCAUCGGGAACCGGACACUUCAUGAUGUCCCAAAAGACCGUUGUUGCAGCCCUAGCCUCCUCCUCCGUAGCCUGAUCCAUCAUUCACGAGACGACCCUUCAAAUAAAACCGCACUAUUCAGAUUGACAGAGAGAUUGGAACACGGCCGGAAUCGUUUCCGAUGUAUUUUCAAAGGAGACAGUGAGAACAGGAGCGAGAAAUUUACCUGUGAAAUAAGUUGGAUCUCGAAAUCGAAUACGAUGGUUAGGGUUUCGAAAUUCCUGACGGAGGAAACCUUUUUGUCCCGUAUAUAUUUAUAUAUAUAUGGGGAGGCUAGAUAGGUUUGAGAAUGGGCUUUAUUUUCAUGAGCUAACAGUUUAUAUGAUUCGGCCUUUGUGCAAAGGAUCCUAUAUAUGCUUUUUUUUCCUACAACUGGAGAGAUAGAUUAACACAUACGGAUAUUUCGUCAUUCUCUGAAUUAAGGACUUCAAUCACGACGACAUAUCCCCCUUUUGUCGAUAGUAUAAAGACUAAUAUAAUGGUUACCAAUAUACUGUAGUUUUAUCAAAACUUAAAAUGAAAAAAAAAUCGUUUCAUCUUCUCCACAUCUCCUUUUAUGAUACAGGAAAGGAGAUAAGAAGAGUGGCACGUGAGAAGGAAACAAGGUGCUAGACACGUGGGAGAACUUUAUUGGCCUGAAAGAAAAGAAUACUUAGAUCGAGGAGAGGCGUAUAAAGGAGAGAAAAAGAUCAGCUGUGAAGAUAGAACCAGAAAAGUAUCAAUUUGUGUAAUCUUCUUCGUCUUCGAUUCUCUCUGUAAAAUCUUAGGGUAUGGCAUUUCAUUGUUGCCAGAGCUGAUUCUACUUCUAAGCUCUAUCACAUAAGACUUGGACUCUCGUUUCAUGAACGACAAUUUAAUUUAUCGAUUCAAUUGUUCUUUUUAAACAAACUAAAAUUUAUAUUAAUCGUCGCUUAAUCUCCAUCGAAAGAGAAGGUGUUCCAAACCAAAGACAACAAUGCCAAAAUGGCUAGAAGUACUGUUGCUAUUAGAGCAAAACACAUUACGCACAAAACAUGGAUAGGAGCAAACACUACAUUUAAUCCACUAAAAUCUAUGAAGGAGAGGGAGGAGGAUAGAUAGGGUUGAGAAUAGGCCUACAGUUUGUAUGAAUCGGCCUUAUAUCAUACCCAAUCCAUCUUAUCCUAUAGCUGGGACUGAAAUUGUAACAAAUGCAAAUUUAACAAUCUGAAGUUCGGCUGUAGACGCAAAGGUAACAACGCACCGAAUGUGUGAGCCUUUUGAUAGAAUGAGCAUCGAAGUGUUUGAAACAUUCGACAACAAACUCCUUGCAACAACACCACUCGAACCAAAGCGGACAAGUUGAGAGAGAUAUUACUUGCGUGAGAAAGAGAAUUCGAAACCCUUAGCUUGAAAUAAUAAUCAAAUCAAAUCNNNNNNNNNNNNNNNNNNNNNNNNNNNNNNNNNNNNNNNNNNNNNNNNNNNNNNNNNNNNNNNNNNNNNNNNNNNNNNNNNNNNNNNNNNNNNNNNNNNNNNNNNNNNNNNNNNNNNNNNNNNNNNNNNNNNNNNNNNNNNNNNNNNNNNNNNNNNNNNNNNNNNNNUAAAUAAAAGUAGCCAACAACAUCCAAUCACUUUUAUUUUGUUGUUAUGACAAAACCAAAGAAAUAAUAUCAUAAAAAAGCAACUCGUGUUCCAAAAACGACAGUACUGGUACAACCAAGUAAUUACUUCGUGCAACAAAACAAUGUUGAGGUUAUUCCAUUCAUCUGGAAUAUAUCAUAGUAGCUCUAUACUAAGAGCAACAAUAUUGGGGUAUCUUAGAUGUUGGUCUAAGUGUCUUAUUUUUUUAACAGCGCCUACGGUGUAUUGUUUUCUAGCGGAAGUCCUGUUUUCUUGAUAGAUAUAGUCCAGAGAAGAUCUGAAUCCGAUUCGACUGUGAUCUUCUCUUCUUUAACCAAGUUUGAUGUGCUUAUCAACCCACCAAAUCUCAUCUCAGUGUUGCCUUUUAAGACAAUUAUAACAAACAGAUAUAAACAAUAGUUGUUAGAUUCGACCUGGUGAUGCUGAUGAAGAUUAUGAUGAUGCAAAAUCAUUACUUACUGAGAUCCCAUUUAAGCCCUGAGGUUGUGGUUUUGGCAGAAGGAGUUCCAAUAGGGAUGAGUCCACAGUGAGGACCUUCAAGUGAAGACUGAAUGUGUAAUUCAUGUAGAUGGUUCUUUGGAAGGAGUUGGAUGAGGCAGUCAUCAGAUAAAAGGACUAUCCUUGUGUCUGGAUAUCGAUACAAGACGUUGAGAUUACCAGCUUCAUGAUCAAAUCUUCCCCCGAGUGCUCCAGUGGCAAGAAUCUGGAACUGGCAGAGGAAAUAAAGAAAAAGGUGCAAAACAUUCAAGAGAAGACAAAGAAAAAGCAGAGAGCUUUAUUGAAAGAUGAACUUACUCUAGAACUCUCUAGAUUGGAAGCAGAGUCACGGAUAUACAAAAUGCACUUAUCAAGAUCUGUGGUAUCCUGAUCAUGAGAUUCAUCUAUGACCUGGGUACCCUGAAAAGGCACAAACAAAAGUAUAAGAAAUCAAAAGCAUAGCAAAGUAAGAUCAAACAAACACUGUGAUGGAUUUGGGAUAAAGAUUCUUGAAAGGCAAGGAAUAUAUGUAAAAUCGGACGAUAAGCUUACCAAGCUCACAUAAAAGUCGAGGACAUCACGGCGAAUAGAAUCCAUAUCUCCCUUGAUCACAUCAGGCUUAUACCUGAAAUAGUUUUGUUCUAUGUAUAAACAAUCUAAUCUAAAACAUAAGUGAACAAGGAGAAUAUAAGAAGACUCUUGUACAAAACAAUCUCCAGCUUAAAAUUGAGGCACUUUCAGUGGGGGAGGCUAAACAAAUAGUGUCAUCUGUACAGAUAUAUAUAUAUAUAUAUAUGCAAAGAAAUGAAGAUGAGAAUUAAAUGGAGAACCUGUUUCGGAUGGAGGAAGCGUCUUCAUGAGGGAAGAAGAGAGGUAACUCGUCGUAGAUGCGAUUAGCGCCACCAUCAGCACAGAGACGAAGUGUUGCUGUUCUAUACAGAAAUCGAAACCAAAAAAAUUGUAAGAGAAAAAAAAGCAAAAAACCCCUAAAUUCAAACAGAGUUGUAGAAAGAGCGUGAGAAGAAGGUACCAUGUUCCCAGAGAAGAGGAGUGAAUCGUGGCAGAUUCUGGUUAAGAACAACGAGAGCGUAUCUCGUUUCCUCGGCUGGAUUGUAAGGAAGGAGAAAGCUUGAAGAGUGAACCAUUACAUCCAUCGCUAUAAGAAGAAAACACAAAGUAGAUAACUAAAAGGAACCAUCUUUUGCAUCUGAAAAGGCAGAGAUACACUUUAAGAAGGCUUCAGAGAAGUAAAUGUAAGACUAAAAAGCAUUGUUACAAAGCCAAGAAACAUGUCCAAGUGUCUAAAUAACUACAUAACACCAAGAGACUUGUACUAUACUAACUCACACAAAAGAAACUGCAGUUGAGAAAUUGAGAACACGUACCAAGUUCAAGUUGUUUGAUCCGAGCCUUUAGAAUCUCAUUCUCACCUAAAUUAAGAUCCAUAUAUCUUGUAUCUGCAGAAAGAUCAAAACUUUGAAAAAAAAGUUGAGAACUUUACUGGAAAUUUACAGACUUUUGAGCAGAUGUGAUGCUUAGAAGAUAUAGAAAACAAAACCCAGAACUCAUAAAAUCGAAAAGCAUUCAAAUGAAACCCUGAAAUUAGCCAUGGAUUUAGGGAAGAGACAAUUCGGAUAUGAAUCGCAAAAAGGUUGAAAUUGAGACAAAGCACGAUUAGGGAGAAAGUGUUUGUACCUUUUUCUUCUUCGAAAUUGACUCCUUUCGUCAGAUUAUAUGUUCGCUGGAUAUAUUCUGUAAUUUUUAUGUUUACACUUUACAACCACGAAAAUAAUUAUUGUCUAUAAGAAAAUGUUUUUAAUUUUUUUUAAUUACAGAUGUUAUUUAUAAAAAAGGAAAUUUUGUAAAAGAUAUAUAUAGUACUCAUAUUUUCUGUUGUCAGAAAAAUAAGCAAAAUUAUUUAUAACUGAUAAUAUAACUAUUUCGAUUUAUCUAUCGUGGUUUAAAUAUUUAACAACAUUAGUGGUAAAUACGAUUUGUCUCUUUUUAUUUUUCUCUAAAUUUUUAAUUAUAACAAAAUCUUAACAACGAAAAUUUGAAAAUCGAAAAUAAAAUUAAAGUAUAGCCUUGCUUGGCUUAAUAAUAUAAUAGACGGUAUAUAGAAUUAUAAAAAAAAAAUCAUAAACACAAAUCUAGAGGUGUAAAUAAAAGGCACUGCACCGUCACCGCCGAAGCGGCCAAACGUUGACUUUUCAAAGAUGGCCACGUCUCAAUCUCAUUCUGUCAGUUGUUUCAAUUAUUUAACAUUAUUACCGUUUCCGGCAUACGUACGUGACUUGCUUUUUCCUAACCACGAAAAGGUGUGUAACCUUUUUUUUUUUUUUUUUUAGUUUGAUUUUUAUAGUUUGUUGUUUGGGCUGUUCUUUUUUAUUGACGAUAUUCUCUGUAGCUGCCCACAUAAGUAGGAUCAUCAACGUCACAAGUAAAGGCAGACUUUAUCUUACAUUUGUAUUCAUUCAGUCGCAACUCUAUAGAAACAGCAAAUUCAUUUCAACUUGUAGAGACAGAGCACAACUUAUUAUUUGAUAUAAUGUGAACCGUUGGCGUCACUUUCAAUUGUAUUUAUUAUUAUUGUACGAUCGAUUCCACUUGCUUCCUUCUUUUGUCUCUUUCCCUCAACUCAACCCAUCAACCCAUCAUCCCAAUCGUAUAAUUUCACAAUGACCAAGCCAUUUCAGCCAAAAAUAACAAAUAAAAGAGGGGUGUUUUCUGAAGAAAUCAAUUAAAUUAGAAAUUAAACCAUCUCCAAAAUCCCUAUAUAUACAUAGAAACAUCAUCAUAUAACUUACAUCAAGCAAUGUAAAAAUAAAUAUAUUGUACAUCUCUCAUCUUUUUGAUGAUGUUUUAUGAUUGGAGAAAGAAAAGAAUUGAGGAGGGAGGGACUCCCAAACAAAACCAUUUUUAAACAAUUCAAGAGGACUCUCUCUCUCUCUCUCUCUCUCUCUCUCUCUCUCUCUCUCUCUCUCUCUCUCUCUCUCUCUCUCUCUCUCUUUCGAAGGAGAGAGAGAUAUAUAAAUUAAUAAUAUUCAUAAAUGAAAAAAAAAACACAACCUCUCUUUUUUCUUCUUCUUUCUCAUGUUUACAUGAAGUAGCUCAGUGAUGUCUUCUUCCUCGAUCCUCCUUCUCCAUACAGCUCGUUCCAUUGCUGAAGCUCGUUCAUGUUCGAUGAAUCAGACGACACACUCGCACAUACCUAUAGCAACAACAACAACAAAAUAAAACUUUCCAUUUAAAAUCCCAAAAUUUGUGGACUUAAACGCUGACACUAUGAUUUCUUUGUGUUUUCAUUUUCUCUCAAACCUGAUCAUGUGCAGCUUUGAAAUCAUUCAUCGACAAGGGUCUAACGUCUGUACUGCUAUAUAACUUAGGUACUGGUCGGUUUUCCGCUUCAGCCACACUUCUCUCCUGCGAUUCAACAAAACCACAUGACUUCCUGUUUUUAAUUCAUCGAAAACCACAUAUCAACACCCAUUUCUGUUUUUAAAACAGAAACCAAACCUUCUUUUCUUUUUCCAAAAUCUCUCGGAUAGGAAGAUGUGCCGCCGUCACACAAAGAUUCUGCAAAACCCAAACCAUUGUUGUUUAGAAUGUGGUUUUUAUGAAAACGGAUUUUUCAGGUUUAUUGCUUUGGAUGGAGGAAAACUACAGACCUUUAAGUCACUCCCGGAGUACCCAUCUGUCAUAUUUGCUAUAGCUUCUAAAUCUACAUCUUGCGCCAUCUCUUCUUUCGCCAAUAUUACGUUCAAGAUCUUCGAUCUGUUUGCUGAAUCAGGGAGAUUAACCAUCAACCUGCACAGACGAUCAAGAUCUAAGCGAUGCUUCGAAGAUGAUGACAGACACACAGAAAGCAGAGAAUUACACAAGGUUUACUACCUUCGGGGAAGCCGUCUAAUUACUGCUUCGUCAAGGUCGAAUGGUCUGUUGGUAGCAGCCAGUACUAAAACUCUUUCUUUAUCCUUUGUGCGUAAGCCGUCCCAGUUUAUCAUGAAUUCGUUCUUCAUUUUACGCAUAGCUUCAUGCUCUCCUGGAUUCUCACGUCUUCCUAACAUGCUAUCAACCUAAAACAUUUUGUUCCCGUUCAAAAGUUAAUCAGAAGGAAACAGAAAAUGUAAGGCGGUGGAGAGCUGUUCUUAACGUCAUGCGACAUACCUCAUCAACAAAAAUGACGCUUGGAGCUAUCUUACUUGCUAAUGAGAAAACAGCUUUAACAUACUUCUCUCCCUCGCCAAACCACUGCAAGAAAUCUAGAUGUCAAGUCUAAUCUCAAAGGAUAUACUACAGAGUCAGGAUGCCGUUUCAAGUAAUAAAUACCUUUGAAGUAAUGCUGGACAUUGAAAUAUUGAUAAAGUUCGCACCAGCCUCAGUUGCUACUGCCUUUGCCAGCAUUGUCUUCCCCGUACCAGGCGGUCCAAACAACAGUAUACCCUUUGUAGGCUGCAUGAAGAAAACAGUUAAAAUUCAGUUUCCAGAGAUGGAGUGAAACAGAUAUUUGAAAAACUAGUAGCUACCUUUGUAAGCUGGCCUUUGCCAAACAACUCAGGUCUUUGUAGAGGAAGCAUCACUAACUCCUUCAAGGUGUCUUUAACAUUUUCCAAAGCCCCGAUAUCACUAAAAGAUACACCGAUAUCACUUGGAGGAAUGACAUCUGAUAGGAGUUUUUUCUCGAAUUCAUUCUCAGUAACAACAUCCUAUAUUAAUAAAGUAACUGUUAAAAUUCCAAAAGUCAAUUGGGAGGCAAAGUAGCAUCAGAUUUAUGAUUAUUACUUUGAGAGAUUUCUUUGUGCUCUUGUGUUCGUUUUGAAUUUCGUGUAACAACUUCAGGCUAGAUGUGAUGCUGCAACACACACCAAAGGGUUAUUUGCAAGAAAAUUUCACAACCGCAAUCCUCAUGAUCUAUAUUUCAGUAUCGAAGGAUCACCUUUCUGCCGAGAUUAUAAGCUUAUUGUCUAUGACCGCGGGUUCUGAGCAGUUCCUAAGAUGGUAGCCGUAAGCCCAGCCAACCACUUUCUCCACACCUAUUAAUCAUAGGUGAGUUAACAAAUAAUCGAAUAGUUCAAAAUAAUAGUCAAGGAAAAAUGUUAAAGAUGCCUACUAUCAGAAGGAAGGGUUUGAUCUUUGAUGCACAAAGUUUCAAGGUCAGGGCAUACUAGAUGGUUUUUGCUUAGGACCUGCAAGAACCAAUAACAGCGACAUAAAGAAAUAAUCACACACACACACACACAACAACAACAAAAUAUACAAGAGCAUAUAGAUAGACAAGGGAUUUCACUGAAAGAUGCUUACUGCACGGAUGCUGGUAAUAUUAGCUUGAGCCUUCAGGAUCGCUGUGUCACGUUCAAGUUUAUCCUUCCAUUCCACCAGCAAAGCUUCAUCCUUUAAUGUUUUAAGAACGAAAGAUAAUGAAAUUAGAAAAGAAACAAAUGGCUCUAGACCACUAAAAAGGAGCAAAAAGGCUCAAACUCAAACCUCAGGUAACUGGAUGGCCACUUUGUUAGGAAAUAGCCUCGUGAUCUGUUUCACUGAUUUAGGCAUUUCUUUGUUCCUGUCCUGCAGUCUACCACCAAAAUUAUCCUGCAGAUGCCAUGAAAAAUCUCUUUCCAUAUUUUAUCUAAUUUAGUGAGUAUCUUUACGAUACAUUAUCCUUAGCUGAUUACAGACUAUUCUUCUCUUUUUUCUUUUCCCAUUCUGUAUUUCUUUUCCUCUACCCAUUCUUCCUAUUUGUUCCUAUUCUUUUUNNNNNNNNNNNNNNNNNNNNNNNNNNNNNNNNNNNNNNNNNNNNNNNNNNNNNNNNNNNNNNNNNNNNNNNNNNNNNNNNNNNNNNNNNNNNNNNNNNNNAGAGAGAGAGAGAGAGAAUGUAAUUUUUGCAUACGUGUAUAUGGUGCAUUGUCACAUGCCAGUUACAAUUCAGAAAAAAGAUUAGAUGGAAAGUAUUAGAUAUGAGUAGGGUUUUCAUACAGGAAAUGCAAGAUCCAGCAAUGCUGUCUGGUUGCUGCCAAACUUUGUGAACAGGAAACCUCCAGGGUGGGACUGAAAAUGAUAUAUCAAACAAUCAAAUUAACCAUUUUGAGGAACUUAAGAAGAUUAAGACAGCCUAAGAAAAGAGGUAAAAUAGAAUCUUACUUUUUCCUUUCGGCUGUCCGACUGGGUUUGUGAGGCUAUGACAACAAUAUUCUCAGGUAAAUUCUCCAGUUUGUUCUUCAAAGUUAUAUACACAUCACUGUUCCCAGACACAGAUUUGUCAAUGUCUUUCAGGAACAGUAUCAAUGACCCUCUUUCACUUUCAUUAAAAGCCACCUACAAUAUCAUUUAAAAGGGAGUAAAGGGUUUCUGUAGCUACAAGAACUAAGUAAUAUUAUUUGUAGUUUAUAGAUAGGCAACAAAAAGUGGUAAGAACUACCUCAAAGAUUUCAUUAAUCGCAAGUUUAUCAGUAUCAUCACUGGACGAACUUUCUAACCGAAGUGAACUCGCUGCAUACGAAGAAUGUCAUUGCUACAAUAACUUUUAAAUGCAAAUCUGUAGAUACUAGCACGGAAAUUUACCUGUACAAAAAAAACCAUGGUCCUCUUCACAUAGACCACCAAGAUCAUUGCCAUCUGGUACCGUUUUAUCAAAUCUAACCCCGAUCUUUGAAGAUCCAUUGUCUUCAAAGGCAAGGAGUACUUUUCCCUGGAAACCUAUUGCCGGUCCCCUAGAAAGAAUAGCACGGAAAGAAAAAAACUGAGUUUUAAUAACAAUCUACAUCAGAUUAAAAUAAUAGAAUAAAAACAACGAAGAAUACCUAGGUGGAGCAUGGAGAGAAGCAAGUGCAGAAUUCAAAUGACCAACAUACUUUACUCGAUCACCUACGAAUUAUAGAAAUGCUUGUUCAGUAACAGAGAGAGUGGCACAACAACAGAACUGAAAAAUAAGACAUAAGUAACCAUACCUGCUUUAAAGGUGUAACUUUUCGAGCUUGCAGUUGACACUUCUUGCCUCGGAAUUGCCUGAGAACUCACUGUUGAUCCACCUGUUAUAUCAGCCUCAACACUUGACGUUGGUUUCUUAUGCUGCAAAACAGCAGCAUGUGCAGCAACCUGUACAGCUCGUUUAGCAAACACAGACAGUCUUUCACGCCUAGUACUUUCUUUGGUUGAAUCUGCUUCCUUGGCUGUCAAUCCCUGAAGCCAUCCAGAAACAGUAAAGAGUCAAUGAAACAGAUUGCCAGGACAUACCACUUCUACAAAUUUCGAACCAAUAGUCAAAAGUGCCUAUUUAAUCCCAAUACGCUCACUUUUUUAUAGACAUAAAAUAUGUUACGAAUAUGCAUAAAAUCAAACACUCAAUAAGAAAAAGGAAAAGAAUGGGAGUUUACCCCAGGUAACAAGAGAGAGUCAACAAUCAUUAAUUUGACCCCAAAUUUUUUCGCAAGCGCUUUUGCCAACAUUUCCUGAUAUAUCUCAGAGCCUUCAAAUAUUCCACAUGAGAAUUUUGUUAGAAAAAUGAAAAUGAGGAACCAAAGAAUAAUGACAAAACUUGUUCAGAGGGUCCCUCAUACCAGCUGGUCCAGAUAGCAAGAUGCGGGGGCACGAUGUUGUCAAGUCUGAUCCAAACUUUAUAUACUUGCUUUCACACUUCAUAUGGGCAUAUGUCGAUGUUAUCAAAACAUCCUUAGUUAUGCCACUGUGACAAUUCAGAAGUUAUUGAUCCAAAAUUUAUAUACUUUUCCAUCUUGCAAGAGAAAAGUAUAAUAGAAAUGUAAUAUAAAUUAUUAGUACUACUGACCUUAAGUAAUAUGGAAAGUUCUCAAACGAAAUGUCUAUGUCCUGAGGAUUGAGUACCCCUCCCUGCAGACUAUCCUUAAGUGCUUGACGUCUAGUUGAUACCAAAGCUGAUGGACGGUCAUAUUCUUUCGGCAUUUCCCUCACUUCACUUCGAUCAUCCACCAGUAUUUUGGAAAUGCUACUCCUUAAAUCAAAUUCAGAAGGAUCCCCAAGUAAGCUCAAAAUUGGACGAACUUCAAAACCAGAGGGAGGAAUAUUUCCAAAUUCAGCUUCUUGAAAUGGAUCGAUUCCAUUUCCAUCUGCAUUCUGUUCAUCGUUGGCAGCACAAGAGGUUGAAGCAACAGUUUUCUCCGUUGAAGCUAUAGCAGCAUGAUCAUUAUUAUUAUCAGCAUCGUUCAUGUCAACAUCCGGAAUACAAUCAUUGCAGCCAGAAGGUAGCACAGGAACCUCUGAAUUUUGCUGCCUUUUGACACUUUUAGCAGUAGGUGGUAGAAAAGGGACAUUAUGUAACUUUGAUAUAGAAGCCAAUAAAGAGUCCCCAUCAACAGGUGAAGAGUCGCCUGCUCUCGUCUCAACAUGAAGCCCUUUCAGAGGGGCACUCUGAUUUUCAAAAAAGCUCAAUGAAGAAGCUCUGUCUGAAGCAGCUAGAUUCUCAUCUUUAAGAGGCUGAAAUAUCUGAAGACUUGUCAAGAAAAAAAAAGGAUAACCCCUGAAUAGAAAUAAUACAAACCUCAUAUAUAGAUAUAUCACAGCAAAAAUAAAAAUUAUAUAAUCCUUAAUUAUGGAACGUGGAUAACUUUCCAGAUCACUUUUGAAAGGAUACAUAAGCAUGUUUCCCAUGGGUACUGAAGACAACUUCGUCGCCACCCCGCAAAUGAAUACAAGAAGUCCUUUGGUAAAUCUUGCCAUUGACCUGAACAAGUAGACUAUUCCCUAUUAUCUCCAGCGAGGCAACUGAUGGACCACCGUGCUACAAAAAGGACAUUAUUAGUAAAAGACUUUUUGUCCCUUGGGCUAGUAGAAGACCAAUCGGAUAGUGUCCUUACCUCAGACUGUCUAAAUUCACACAGAACGGUGGGCAUUGUAUGAUCUUUGAUACAUAAAUCGCAUCCUCGCCGACCAACAGUAAAGACAGAGCCUCUCAUGACACGAUGAGGGUUCUGAAAUUGCGUAUAAAGGAAUAUUAGCCAUAAAACUCUGGAAACUACAGCAAGCUUACAGUAACCCACGGUCUCCAACUACAAGAGAAGUAGACCUUCUUCUGCAACAUGCGGCUGGAAAGAAAAAAAGAAACUAAACUGCUAUACAAAAACCAGGAACGCUAGUUCACAAUUCCUACUAAUCCGCUACUAUAUCACCAUAUAUUAACAUUUCAACACCAAACACACCAAAGUUUUCCCUUCUAAAACCAGUGAAGAGAAAAAACGCCCAGUUGAUCAAAUACUGUACAUUGUCAGAAACUGCUCCGCAGCAACCCAUAAUACCAACAUAUGUCCAUGACAAUAAACCCGAAAGCCACAAACUUUACUAAAUUCCCCGAUCGCAGACAGCUAAAACCCACUAGGCUCAGAAUUUGAGAAACAUGCAAACAAUAUAUAAAGCAAACAGAAGCAAAAUAACAGACCUGAGAACAUUGAGAGAUAAGCUUGGCCCAAGGAGCCUUAGCAGUCCGCUUCUUUGAAGAUUUCGAUUUUUCAGCUUCGACCACUACAUCACAUGAACAACCAAAAGACAUGAGGAAAAAAGAGAUAAAACUUGUAGUCAUGAAAAAGAGAGAACAUGCAACAUGCGAACCUGCAGGGGUGGGCGUCACCAAGCCUUCAACUUCUGGAAUUGUGUCGGUCUCCAUGGCCGGCACAUCGGCGGUAGUGACUGGCCUCUCGGCACCAUUAGUCUGCGGAUCAGGAGUUCUCCGUUCCGGCUCUCCAGAUUCCGAUCCAGGAUCCGAAACCGGCCCACGAUUUUCAACCGGCACCUCACUCGCCGAAGAAGAAGCAGCCGGUUCCGCCGCAGCCUAAACCGGAAGAAGAAGAAGGAAAAAAAUCAACACAAAUCGAAAAAAUAAAAAAAACCCCAGAUUUCAAAAUCCGGAAUUGAUCAAACCCAAUCGUCGGCAUCUCCAAAAAUUGGGCAGGAAGAUUAACCUUGGAUCGUUUGGUAGGACGUGAGGAUGAAGAAGUUGUUUCGGGGGAAGAAGCAGGAAGGCGCUUGGAAGCAGAGGAGCUACGUCUCGUCUCAACCAUAUCUCUUGUUCUUGAACGCCGCCGUCUCCACCGCUUGAUCCAAAGAAGAGAGACGCUUCCAGAGAAAGAGAAAGAAGACAGAGAGAGAUUUCGCAAGAGAAGAAGAACGAAAGAAAUAACUUUUACUGCAAAGGUCUCUCUUUGUUUUUAUCUCUCAAUAUCUUAUACUAGUGUGUAUCUCAUAAACUUCCUCUAAUCUUUAUUCUUCCUCUUAUUUAAAUUUAUAAAGUGCGUAUCUGCACAUAUUUAAUAUUUUUCCUUUUUCCUUUUUUGUUUCCCAUAUUUCUCAAACUUAACAUUUUCUCUAAUUAUUUUUAGUCACUCAUAUUAAUUAAAAACGACAAAAAAAAAAGAAGAGUAAAUUAAAAAUAACAAAAUAAAAAGCACCCACUUGAGCUGUUUUGACUAAAUUUGGUUUAGAUAUUUGAAGGAAGUAAUUAGAUUCUUCUCUUCAGUUGCUUGCAGUAAUGGUAUGUAGUACAGCUUUAAGAAUGUUUGGUUGUCUGCCUAUAUAACGCUAUGUAUUUGUUUUAAAAACUCCUAUGUUGGUUUUGUUGUUCUCCCUUUCAGGGUUCCAAGUCCAUAACAUGGAUUCAAAGAAUGUUAUCACGGAUGGACCUAAGGAAUACGCUAUCAUUGUCAUAACCAAUUUCUUACGAUCCGUUUGGUUCAAUUCGAUAAUGAUUUUCAUUUGGUUCAAACUUCAAAAAAUAUGCGUUGAUUUAAAGCAAAAAUAAUAAUCGUCAACUUUUAUAUUCCAGCAAACGCGCCCGCCGAGAGUUGAUAGUUGUUAAGGGUUAGGUUGAGAGUUGGUGAUCACUUGUGUGUUACACAACUUUCACACUUAAUAUUUUAAACUGGUUNNNNNNNNNNNNNNNNNNNNNNNNNNNNNNNNNNNNNNNNNNNNNNNNNNNNNNNNNNNNNNNNNNNNNNNNNNNNNNNNNNNNNNNNNNNNNNNNNNNNNNNNNNNNNNNNNNNNNNNNNNNNNNNNNNNNNNNNNNNNNNNNNNNNNNNNNNNNNNNNNNNNNNNNNNNNNNNNNNNNNNNNNNNNNNNNNNNNNNNNNNNNNNNNNNNNNNNNNNNNNNNNNNNNNNNNNNNNNNNNNNNNNNNNNNNNNNNNNNNNNNNNNNNNNNNNNNNNNNNNNNNNNNNNNNNNNNNNNNNNNNNNNNNNNNNNNNNNNNNNNNNNNNNNNNNNNNNNNNNNNNAAAACAUAAAUGAAGAAGAUAGAUAGUUUUUCUUCUUUGUGUACGUGCGUAGUGGGUUCUAAUUAACUCCUGCAACGAGCAAUUUUGCUGCAACCACGACUGUAAGGAUUAGCUUGAGCUCCGUUCUGACAGUUGUAAUAAGACGCACCUCUUCUUGAACAAGGCACGCUGUUCUUUUUUAACGAUUGAUAGCUUAUGUAUUUUGUGGUCGCCAAUACUCUUCUACUGAUCUCCGAGUCCAUUUCUUCUUCCUCUGCCCCGAUACACUCUGCUAUUGAACCGUGGCAACCUGAGCCGCCAUGGACUCCGCUCGUGGCCCACUCCAGGCCGUCGAGGUCAUUGGUGAAGCCGGCUUGAAUCCGAGGUGAAGAGAUGAUCACGAUGAAGAGGAUGAGUAUCACAAGGGUUGGGAAGAGGGUAAAAGACUUGGCCAUUUUUUGUUGGUCUUUCUUGGGGUUUCUUGUAUUGUGUUACCCCAUUCUUCCUUAGGUUAAUGUUUUUAUAUACAUGGACAUGGUGAGUGCGUAGACUCAGUUUUUGUUUUUUGUUAGUGGUUGAAGCUUUCUUUUUUUAUUAAGAUAAAAUGAAAAUCUGAAAUUCAAUACUCAAUAGAAUGAGGAAAUGUUUUUUGAUCGAAAUUAGUAACGUUUUUUUUUUCUGUUUUAAAAUUUAACGAGCUUCGAUUUGAAGAGGUAUCUUUUUGUAGAUUAAAUUUUUAAAAUUUGAAAAAAAUAUUAUUUAUGUAUUUGCGAUAUAUAUUAACAGAAAUGCCCCUUGACAAUGAAAGUUGAAAAUAUUAUACAAAAUUAAUGAUUAAUAUAAUGGAGAAUUGUUGAGAGUGGUUGAAUAUUUGUUAAACCCGACACUAGUUGAACCAAAACGAUUUGGGUGCAUUUGAGCGGUCAAAUCGUUUCUCAUUAUCCAUUUGACUUUUCAUAAUCAACAUUAUCAUUUGUUUAAUGAUCUGAAAGCACUGAAUCUAGAUGACAUAAUAAAUUUAAUUUGUUUUGUUCAUUAAUACGUGGAUGCAAAAUUACUCUUCUUCGACCAAUAUCAAUUAGUUUUUUUUUUUUUUUUGGUAAAUUAUGUUACUAUAACGAAGAGUCUUCUUGGUAUUAAGCACCAACUAUUUUUUUAACUACUGAGUUUCAAAUAUAUAUAGAAACAACUAUCAUGGUUCGCUUUGUUAAAAAGAGAAAGAAAACAUACGUACAGUAUAUCGAAACAACGAAAGCUUGAUUCGUUUUCCCUUGUCAACAACAACAACCGUAAAAUACAUGAGAGUUGGGACAUCGUUAUCCCAACAAAACAUAUAAAGAAACCUAACCCCCUUUUUUAAUUAAAAACAAAAAACUAAAACUAAAAUAUAAUCUAGAAUUGUUAUUAGACAAGCACUUUCAAAUAAAAUCGUGUUUUAAAUUGAUAAUGUAAUCCUUCAUAUUUGUUCUGUCUCCCCGAAUCAGUAUCAAAACGCGUUUCAUAAUCUUUUGAUCCAUAGGAUAGGACCGCUCGUGUCAUAAGAAGUUAAAAAAAAAGGUAUGAAGAUAUAAGACUAUUAGAAGUUACCUUUUUUUAAGCUUAACCUCACCUUUUUUCUCUCGUUUAAUGACUAUUAGAAGUUACCGAAAACGAUACAAAAUAGUUUUUUUUUUUUUUUCAAUAUAUAAAAAACUUUCUUCACAUACAAGUAACAAUCUCAUGGACUUGUGAACACAAAUACACAAUACAGGCCUUUUCUUCUCCUAUGAGCUCUCUCUCUCUCUCUCACUAGUCUCUUCUAAAGUUUUACUUUUAUGAAGAUGCAAUAUGUAACAAAGCUUCACAGUUUCAUCUUUCUAACUUGCUCAGCACGUCAUCCAUCGGUGGCAACUCCUUCGAUAUCUCUGCCCAAUCUGGCAUCCCCUGAAACAAGAAAAAACAUAGAUAUCACCCAAUGAAUUCAUCAUUCAAGAACACUAAAAGAGCCAGUUUUGCAUCCAGCAUGAGAAACCAAGAGAGGCAAGGUUUCUAGAUGAAACUUACUCUACCCGAUCUGCGGACUCGACCAUCUAACCGCAGUACAAUGUACACGUCAUCACCUGGAUCAACUCCCUCAGAUAUCUGUUGAUCUCUUAUCCACCUGAACCAAACCAAACCAGAGACAAUCUUUAAGACUCAAAAACAAAGUUCCCCUCUCUCUUCUAUCAAACUUUGAUCACCAGAAAAGGCGAUGAAAGUUUCUACCUUUCCCAUUCAUCAGGCGAAACAGUCUCGGCCUUGAACCUGAUUUCACCUUUCAGCUUCGAUUGGGCUACUACCGAUUGAGCCCGUGUAUCAAAAUCUUCCUAUUAUGUUAAGAAAAAUCACUGCUUUGCAAAAUGAGAAUUAAGGUGAAGUGAAUAUUUGUUUGCUUUGUUACAACAAAAAAUCUUUUCGUUACCCCAAUUGAAGGAAGAGAUGUAGCUGCCUUUGAAGAAGCUCCAAAGCCUUUUUUUUCGAUUACUGGUGUUUUACGUUCACCCCAUACCACAGGAACUAAGAGAACACCUCUUCUUAGGAGCUCGGUUCUGAACCUAUCCGCUUUUUGCAUUGCGGCUGUUACAGUCUCUUUUUUCCCAGCCAGAAUAACCUAACAAGAGUGUCAAUCACCUAACCGUUUCAGAAACUUAAAAGGCUAAUUAACACUUGAAGCAGUGUAGCAGGAUCAAAGACUCACUGGUCGAACUGUAUCCCGCAGCUGCACAAGUUCAACAACUCGGUUGGUUGACAGACGUAAUGGCAGCCGGGAAAGAGUUUCGUCUCGAGUUAUUUGAACCAUUUGUUCUUCCUCUUUCUUGUUUUCCCAAAGGAACAAUGAAACCAGAACAACAAUACCUGUACAUUGCUGUUCCUAAAGCUUACUCACAUGACAGAGGAAAAAAUGGAAUUUAAGAUUCAAGUUGUGUUUCUGACUCACCUCCAAUGUUAAUUGCAGCAUUUCCUGUAGUUUCCAGAAGAUCUGGAGCACCAUCGCCGCCUUUAAAUGCCUGAAUCAGUCUUGGUACGGUAAAGAACGUUGAGAUACCUGCUGCUGCAGCAAAUGCAAAAUAAAAGAAUUUUCUAACACCACGAAAUGGUGCUCGUACUUCGCUGAUAAGUUUUAGAUCUCUCCGAAAACUAUCACCAAUAUCUUCUCCGCCUAACCUAGCCUGAAACAAUGGGAAGAAUUUUUCACCAAUGAGAAAGUUCUUCUUGGGAUAAACAAUAACAUAUACAAAAGGAGAGUACAAGACCUCUUCUUGAAGCUCUUUAAACUCGGGUAAUGCACGAAAGGAUGCUAAGUCAGGAUCGUCAAGAAUUGUGGCAAACUUUAGAUUAUAAUCUUUCAAAGCGAUUCUCAAACAAUCAGCAGCUUUAUUUCCUUCGCCCCUACCUCAAGACGAUAAACAAUAGGGAUGAAAUAGAAGAGAGAGAAUAAUAUCAUCAGGAUCUUCCAAAUCGUUGGAUAUAAGGCAGUUUCAUCAGUACAUGGCUCGAGGUUCUUACCGGUAAGCAUGACAACAUGCUUUAUUAUAGUAAGCAGCUUGUGACUCGAUAGGAUUUGGAUUCAAACUCAGUGCUGUCUCAAACUGAACAAGAGCAUCUUUGACCUGAAAGUAUCCAACAUUAUGUAUCAGCUGAAUCAGUUAAAAACAAAAUGUAUUGUCUAAACUUAGGUUAUUCCUCAACAUAGAAUCAGUCACAACAUAAGACUGUUUUGCUGGCCCAAGUAUCCACAUACUGUAACUAGUACAAGCGAUUUGCUAACUUUUUUUCAAAUUUUCACAUACAAACUCCCCAUUAAGAUCAGGAACCUAACCAUCAGAAGGAAAAAAACUCAUCCCAUUUGUUUUGUUAGAAGCUUAUAUUCCAUAAGAUCAACUGGCGAGUGGCAAAAGUAACUAAAUUUUCAUCAAUUUGGUUAAAAAGUUUCACAGAAUCAUACAAAGGUAGCAAUAGGAAACAAGAACAGACAAAAAGGUCAAGCCAUAAAUAAAUAAAAAAUCAAAAAGCGACUGAAACAUAUUCACCUACGCAACACAUUAUUCGAAUCAAACUCUAGAACUUACCCGUCCUCUCUUAAAAAGAUCAAGACCAGUAUUGACGCACGACUCAGCCGUGAGAUCAUCCGUCGGAGAAUUUGGAGAUGGAGGCGAAGACGACGGAGACGGAGAAGAAGAAGAAGAAGCAAAAACUAGGAGAUGAGAAUCCCAGUUCCGGCGAGAAUUAAAAAGAGUAGCAUCUCCUGGUGGUAGCCAUGGGCGUCGUUUCGAGUAAGGGUUCGAGACACGGCGUAGGAAAUGGCGGUUUAGCGACGGAGCUGUAGCCACAGCCAUUCAAUGUUCUCCUGCGAUUCCCAAAUAACCCCCAAACGUUUAUCUUAAAAACGCUUCCUUUUUUUUCCUCUUUUUUAUUUCAGAAAAUAAUAUUGAAUUUCCAACUUCUUCGAAUAUUAUCUAUGAAUUUUUUGUGGGUGCAAAUUAGCCCCAAUAUUGUUAACCUUGAAGCUUGACAUUGUCAUACAAUAUGUUUGGAAUCGAUUAGGAAACAUGAAUUUGGAGUUAGUGUAAUAGUAUUCUAAUAAAUUGUGUCAAUUAAGCUCAUUAAGCUAUAAUUGAUUUGAAACUUAAGUCCUUCAACAGUUUGAAAAUUAUUGAAAGUCAACAGUAAAAUUUUCUUCCUAGCAAUGACAAAACUGAAGUCUGAAGUCAACUUCAAGAAUUGAAAGAGUAAAAGUCAAUAUUCGAGAAUUAAGAUAACAAAGAUAUUUUUUAAUUCAUCAAAGACUCUUUAUUGAAGAUUACAUUCAAAGCAAUCACUCGGUGGCAGAAAACAGAGAGUACACACGAAAAGGAAAACAGAGGAAACACACAAUUAAAAAUAAAACAGAGUUUAAGAGAAUUAGGGCAAUGAGGUCAUCGCCACCUUUAUUCAGUAUUGUGACUUAACAGUUUGAUUCACUUAGAGAACCUUCUGAGCAGAAGGCCUGGAAGUGAUGUCAGCAACCCAAGCACCGACAUGGGGACGCUCGUCGAAGAGUUUCUUAGUUGGAGUACCAAGCAAGUACUGAAUCGCGGGGAUGGUGUGAAGAUCGACCAAAGUGAAGUGAUCAGCAGCCAAGUACUUGGAGUCACCAAGCCUGUGUUCGUAAACAUCGAGGACUUUGGCAAACUUAGCCUCUUCUUCUUCGACAACGGCUUUGUCUGUGGUCAUACCAUACAACGGCUUAAGGACUUGCUCCCAAACAAGCUUUGAAGCAACUGGGUCAAACUCAUGCUUUUCAAUCUCCAUGCCCAUGGCUAUGAUAGCCAUGUUCUUGCCAGGUGCUAGAAGGUCGUUUCCUUUGUCUGAGAAAUUAUGAGCUAUGUAUUGUGUAAUUGCUCUUGAUUCUGCCCAGACAAAAAAUAAAAUAAAAAGGGUUUCAGACGGUUUAUAAUUUAUAGUAUCGCGAGAUUAGGCCUAAAGUUAAGUGUUUUGCUGUUUUACCAAAAAGCUUGAAGUCUCCAUCUUCAAAGGCUGGAACUUUGCCAAAAGGCUGCAAAACAAUCAACAUUCAAGAUUUUCAGACCAAGAUUCACUAGUACAGUAUUCUAAACGAAACAAUCGUUUGUCAUGACCAAAAUGUUUUUAUGUACUCACGUUGCGGGAGAUGAAAGGCUCUUGCUUGUGUUCACCAUCUUUGAGCUCGAUAUGAACGAGCUCAAAGUCGAGAUUUUUCUCGUGGAGAGCGAUGAGAACUCUUCUCGUGGCUAUGGAAGCAGGGUGACCGAAAACUUUGAUUCCUGCCAUUAGUGAGUUAAUGCUGUUUUUAGUGAUAUUAAAAGUAUGAGUAGAGAGAGAGAGAGAGAUCUUUGUGGUUGAUGGGAAGAAAUACACAGAUGUGGAAGUGUAUUUAUACAGCUAAAACAGAGUAAACUUGGUGAAUAAACAAAAACAAAAGAAAAAUCUCGGCGCCACCAAGCUUGAAUACUCUUAUUUUGUUAAAAUGAUUAUUGGUUUUUAAAAAUCUCAAGCUGAGUAAUGUAUGAUUCACCGUUUCUAUUGGUUAAGACUUUGACAGGACGAUAGUAUACAUUAUUUUUUAUUUAUUUUUUAAGUAUGAGAAAAUAUUAACCAUAACGUGAUAAAGACCGCAAGAAAAGUCUUGUAUCUACUAAUCAAAGUUUGACUGACGUUGUUGGGUUCAUGUGGAUCGUUGGAUUAGCCACCGUGAAGCUAUAGACUUUUUUGAGUCGCUCUUUGGAUAUCUAGAACCUUCUCUAGCUUCGCCUUGGUUUCAUUCAUAACCUUAUAGUCCGUUUUUAGACCAUACACAGACUUGAUGGAUUGCUCACAUAUAUGCGAGUGGAUCGAGCUCAGAUACGCAAGUGCAUGAAAACUGGGAUAUGAUCAGAUGGCUGCAUCAAUACUUCAGCAAACAUAUAUAUUAAUAAAAGCGACAAACCUAAGAGGUAACAAACUUGAGAUACAAGUAGCUAAUCGUUAGGUGAUAAUUAACCCUCGUUAUAACUUGCUUACUAGGUCGAUAAAUUUAAACACUUUACUAGUCUAUAAGAUUGUUCAAACUAGGUGGAUUUUAAUAACAGGGUUUAGAGAUUAGAAGACAUAAGUCACAUAAUAGACCAGCUAAAUGGAAACCCUAGUUAAGACCUAAAUAUAUGAAAGACAAGUGUUUAUCUAAUUAGAAGUGAAAAUUUGAAAGGUACACGUUAAGCGUGGCUUCUUCUAGCCAGCGGCUUUGUACUCGAUGGCGAUGGGAUCGUAAGAGAGACCUUUCGCGUGGAGAACGGCGAGAACUCGCCUUGUGUGUUGGUGGAGUUAGGGUACCUAAAAACCUUGUAACCUGCAGUUUUACGACGGAGACGGAGAAGCAGAGGAAGCGAAAACAAGGAGAUGGGAAUCCAAAUUCCGGCGAGAGUUGAAAAGGGUAGCCAUCGAGUUAGGGUUCAAGACGCGGCGGAGUAAAUGGGGGGGGGGUUUAGCGACGGAGCUGUAACCACAGCCAUUCAAUUUUCUUAUACGCUUCCAAGAAAACCCUAACUUUCAUCUUAGAAACCCUUCUUUUUUUGUUUCUUUGUUGCUCUGUUUAUGUCGGUAAAUAAUAUUCAACUUCCAAUCUCUUUGAAUGUUAUCUUGGAACUUUGGUUGGUCUAAAUUACACCCAAAAUAUUAAUUAACAUCGUUGAGGUUUGCCAUCAUCACAGACGGUUUGGACUCAAUUAGGAAAACGAAGUAUAGUGACUGAUGAGUUGCAGAACUAAUUUGGAGUUGGUAUUUGUAUUAUUCUAAUAACUAAAUGUGUUUUUGUCUAAUAAGUAUGAUUUUGCAAAGUUAAGACCUUCAUAAGCAUUUAAAGUCAAUGGUCAAUGUCUUCCUUACAAAGCAAAAAAAUGAAGUCUCAAGUCAGCUUUAAAGAAUUGGAUGAAUAAAAGUCAAUAUUCUAGAAUGAGAUAGCAUUAAUUUAGUAGCUUAACUUGAAGAUAACAAAUAUUUCAUUUUUUUAUUCAUCAAAUACUCUUUAUUGAAGAUUGCAUUCAAACCCAUCACUUAUAGUAGCAGAAAAAAACAGAGUACACGAAAAGAAAAAAACAGAGGAAACACAUACAAAAAGAAAAACAGAGUUUAUGAGAAUUAGGGCAAUGAUGUCAUCGCCACUAUUAUUCAAUCCUGUGAUAGUCAGCUUGAUUCACUUAAAGAACCUUCUGAGCAGAAGGCCUGGAAGUGAUGUCGGCAACCCAAGCACUGACAUGGGUACGCUCGUCGAAGAGCUUCUUAGUUGGAGUACCGAGCAAGUACUGAAUCACAGGGAUGAUGUGAAGAUCAACCAAAGUAAAGUGAUCAGCAGCCAAGUACUUGGAAUCACCAAGCCUGUGUUCGUAAACAUCAAGGACUUUGGCCAACUUAGCCUCUUCUUCUUCAACAACGGCUUUGUCUGUGGUCAUACCAUACAACGGCUUGAGGACUUGCUCCCAAACAAGCUUUGAGCCAACUGGGUCAAACUCAUGCGAUUCGAUUUCGAUGCCCAUGGCUAUGAUCGCCAUGUCCUUUCCAGUUGAGAGAAGGUUGUUUCCUUUGUCUGCGUAAUUAUGAGCUAUGUAUUGUGUAAUUGCUCUUGAUUCUGCCCCAGACAAAAAAUAAAAUAAAAAGGGUUUCAGACACUUUAUAAUUUAUAGUAUUGCGAGAUUAGGCCUAAAGUUAAGUGUUUUUGAUGUUUUACCAAA